rnacentral:tRNA from 1 species
GGACGAUUAGCUCAAUGGUUAGAGCGCCUGCUCUACACGCAGGAGGUUGGGAGUUCAAGUCUUCCAUCGUCCACAA